UGUGCAAACUUGUCCGCCGAAAGGCUUAUUUUAUUUUAGGAAAACAAAAUGGCAUUGACCGUUGAACAAAAAGCGCAAAUCGUUAAAGAUUUCCAGCGCAAAGAA
rfam:Kingella denitrificans ATCC 33394 genomic scaffold SCAFFOLD1, whole genome shotgun sequence.